rnacentral:rRNA from 1 species
UACGUAGGUGGCGAGCGUUGUCCGGAUUUACUGGGCGUAAAGAGCGCGCAGGCGGUCGUUCAAGUCGCGUGUGAAAGCCCCCGGCUCAACUGGGGAGGGUCACGCGAUACUGAUCGACUCGAAGGCAGGAGAGGGAAGUGGAAUUCCCGGUGUAGUGGUGAAAUGCGUAGAUAUCGGUAGGAACACCAGUGGCGAAGGCGACUUCCUGGCCUGUUCUUGACGCUGAGGCGCGAAAGCUAGGGGAGCAAACGGG